rnacentral:rRNA from 1 species
UGGUCCCUACGGGAGGCAGCAGUGGGGAAUAUUGGACAAUGGGGGAAACUCUGAUCCAGCGACGCCGCGUGAGUGAAGAAGUAUUUCGGUAUGUAAAGCUCUAUCAGCAGGGAAGAAAAUGACGGUACCUGAUUAAGAAGCCCCGGCUAACUACGUGCCAGCAGCCGCGGUAAUACGUAGGGGGCAAGCGUUAUCCGGAUUUACUGGGUGUAACGGGAGCGUAGACGGCAUAGCAAGUCUGAUGUGAAAGAUCGGGGCUCAACCCCGGGCCUGCAUUGGAAACUGUUAAGCUGGAUUCCAGGAGG